AUCAGCCGCAAUGAUGAAUUAUGUUAAUCCCAGCUCUAUGAGACAUUCUAAAUGUCAAUGACUAGACAAGAUUCACAUAUUUACCUGAGCUCAAAC